GGCCAGUUAGCUCAGUGGUUUGAGCGCAGUGCUGACAACAAUGACCAACACGGAGAUCGCGGGUUUGAUUCCCACUUGGUCC
rfam:Apaloderma vittatum contig47897, whole genome shotgun sequence.